GUGCCCUACGGGGGGCAGCAGUGGGGAAUAUUGGGCAAUGGGCGCAAGCCUGACCCAGCAACGCCGCGUGAAGGAAGAAGGCUUUCGGGUUGUAAACUUCUUUUCUCAGGGACGAAGCAAGUGACGGUACCUGAGGAAUAAGCCACAGCUAACUACGUGCCAGCAGCCGCGGUAAUACGUAGGUGGCAAGCGUUAUCCGGAUUUACUGGGUGUAAAGGGCGUGUAGGCGGGGCAGCAAGUCAGAUGUGAAAACCAUUGGCUCAACCUGUGGCCUGCAUUUGGAAAUGUUUU
rnacentral:rRNA from 1 species